UACAGAGGGGGCGAGCGUUGUUCGGAAUUACUGGGCGUAAAGGGCGCGUAGGCGGCCCGCUAAGUCGAACGUGAAAUCCCCGGGCUCAACCCGGGAACUGCGUCCGAUACUGGCAGGCUUGAAUCCGGGAGAGGGAUGCGGAAUUCCAGGUGUAGCGGUGAAAUGCGUAGAUAUCUGGAGGAACACCGGUGGCGAAGGCGGCAUCCUGGACCGGCAUUGACGCUGAGGCGCGAAAGCCAGGGGAGCAAAGCGGG
rnacentral:rRNA from 1 species